rnacentral:rRNA from 1 species
CCUGAUGCAGCAACGCCGCGUGAACGAUGAAGGUCUUCGGAUCGUAAAGUUCUGUUGCAGGGGAAGAUAAUGACGGUACCCUGUGAGGAAGCCCCGGCUAACUACGUGCCAGCAGCCGCGGUAAUACGUAGGGGGCUAGCGUUAUCCGGAUUUACUGGGCGUAAAGGGUGCGUAGGUGGUCCUUCAAGUCGGUGGUUAAAGGCUACGGCUCAACCGUAGUAAGCCGCCGAAACUGGAGGACUUGAGUGCAGGAGAGGAAAGUGGAAUUCCCAGUGUAGCGGUGAAAUGCGUAGAUAUUGGGAGGAACACCAGUAGCGAAGGCGGCUUUCUGGACUGCAACUGACACUGAGGCACGAAAGCGUGGGUAGCAAACAGGAUUAGAUACCCUGGUAGUCCACGCUGUAAACGAUGAGUACUAGGUGUCGGGGGUUACCCCCCUCGGUGCCGCAGCUAACGCAUUAAGUACUCCGCCUGGGGAGUACGCACGCAAGUGUGAAACUCAAAGGAAUUGACGGGGACCCGCACAAGUAGCGGAGCAUGUGGUUUAAUUCGAAGCAACGCGAAGAACCUGACCUAAGCUUGACAUCCUCGGACAGGUGUUUAAUCACACC